AGAGUUUGAUCAUGGCUCAGAACGAACGCUGGCGGCAUGGAUUAGGCAUGCAAGUUGAACGAACCACUUCGGUGGUGAGUAGCGGAAGGGUGAGGAACGCGUGAGUAAUCUGCCCUCCAGUUGGGAAUAACAGUUGGAAACGACUGCUAAUACCGAAUGUGGCUUGAGUCCUGCAUGGGGCUCGGGCUAAAGAUUUAUCGCUGGAGGAUGAGCUCGCGUCCCAUUAGCUAGUUGGUGAGGUAACGGCUCACCAAGGCGACGAUGGGUAGCUGGUCUGAGAGGAUGGUCAGCCACACUGGGACUGAGACACUGCCCAGACUCCUACGGGAGGCUGCAGUCGAGAAUCUUGGGCAAUGCGCGAAAGCGUGACCCAGCAAUGCCGCGUGUAUGAUGAAGGCCCUCGGGUCGUAAAGUACUGUCUCCCGUGACGAAAUUUGACGGUAGCGGGGAAGGAAGCCACGGCUAACUACGUGCCAGCAGCCGCGGUAAUACGUAGGUGGCGAGCGUUGUUCGGAUUUAUUGGGCGUAAAGGGUCUGUAGGAGGUCCGUUAAAUACGAGGUGAAAUCCAGAAGCUCAACUUCUGAAUUGCCUUGUAGACUGACGGACUAGAGUAUCGGAGAGGUAAGCGGAAUACCACGUGUAGCGGUGGAAUGCGUAGAUAUCUGGUAGAACACCAAGAGCGAAAGCAGCUUGCUGGACGAAAACUGACUCUGAAAGACGAAAGCAUGGGGAGCAAACAGGAUUAGAUACCCUGGUAGUCCAUGCCGUAACGUUGUCAACUUGAUGUGGGGGGGGAUUUAGUCCUCUCCGUAUCGAAGCUAACGCGAUAAGUGGACGGCUGGGGACUACCGACGCAAGCUAAAAACUCAAAGAAUUGACCGGGGGCCCGCACCAAG
rnacentral:rRNA from 1 species